rnacentral:lncRNA from 1 species
UUUUUUUACAUCCAUUCCACUUGCUGUCACCCUUUUAGAGAAUGGGAUUUACAUGUGUGGUACCAUACGAAAGAAUCGUAGGCAGUUUCCAGAAGAGCUGAAGAACCUUCCUAUCAGAUUGGAGCAAGGACAGUAUGUUGGACGACAGUGUCGGAACUUAGUGGCAGUUGUGUGGAUAGAUAAAAAACAUGUCUCCCUGUUGUCAACAAAUCAGUCUAUAGAAUAUGUACAUUUACGUUCCAUAUUCUGUGUACAUGUAUUUGUGCACUUAAAAAAAAAUUAUUAUAAUAACAGUUAUUGAAUUUUACAGGAACCUUUCCCUCUUUUUUACAUUGUAUUAACACAAUCUAGCCAAAAUAAGACUUGGUAUAAAAAGCACAAAACAAUGUUUUGACAUUAACAUUUAAUUUGUGAAAACUUUGUUAUAUACAUGUAAAUAAGAUAUGAUAUACUGGUAUGAGUACAAUGAGACAACUAUUCAUCCAAGUGACACAAUGUUGAAGGUUAAAGGUUAUACUCAUAUAUGAAGCCGCAUGCUUCAAACAAAAUUUUAAGGUACGCAAACAAGUUUAAACUCCCAACUGAAAUCCAAAUUUACAUAAAAUACAUGUAUAGAUGAGAUAUCUACAGCACAUAAACAUGUACUUACAUAAUGUAUUAAUUGAUGUAUACUCUUUGUUUUAGAGUGACAUUACUGAAAGGAGACAACAAGAUGGUACUAUGAAACAGAUCACCAGACCACGGAUUAUCACGA